AGUCGAACGGAUCCAGCACAUAAUACGUAAAAUGAAAUAGCAAUAUGAAUUUUUGCAAUUGUUAUGUGCUAGGUUAGUGGCGAACGAGGUAGUAAUACAUAGGAACUUCCCCCAAAGUCGUGAAUAAUUCGUUGAAAGACGAACUAAUACACGAUGGUCUCCAACUUUGUGUUGGAGUAAAGAAUUUCGCUUUGGGAAAGGCCUAUGCGGUAUCAGCUUGUUGGUAGUGUAAAGGACUACCAAGGCUAUGACGCCUAGGGGAGGUGAGAGCCUGACCCCCACCGAUGGUACUGAGACACGGACCAUACACCUACGGGUGGCUGCAGUCGAGAAUCUUUCACAAUGGACGAAAGUCUGAUGGAGCGACGCCGCGUGAUUGAUGAAGUCCCUUUGGGACGUAAAGAUCUUUUAUGAGGGAAGAAGUUUAUUGACGGUACCUCAUGAAUAAGAGGCUCCUAAUCUCGUGCCAGCAGGAGCGGUAAUACGAGAGCCUCGAGCGUUAUCCGAAAUUAUUGGGCAUAAAGGGUGUGUAGGUGGUUUU
rnacentral:rRNA from 1 species